UGAAUGAAGUAAACUGGGACUGUCCUUCCUUCGCCGUACCUGAAGUUACUGCAUUUUGGCUGCUGUCUGUAGAUUCCUUCAUAAACAACUUGUAUUCUUUUGUUUUAACAGCAGUGAUGUGUAUUGUUAAGGGUCCUUGCCACCACAAAAAGAAUCAACAUUGCAAAUUGAACAUGUAGCUCGACUUGAAUCACCUUCUUUUGACUGAAACUACUGCCAAACAACACUUUUUCUGUUCACG